GACGUAGGACGCAAGCGUUGUCCGGAUUUAUUGGGCGUAAAGAGCUCGUAGGCGGUUUGUCGCGUCUGCCGUGAAAGUCCGGGGCUCAACUCCGGAUCUGCGGUGGGUACGGGCAGACUAGAGUGAUGUAGGGGGAGACUGGAAUUCCUGGUGUAGCGGUGAAAUGCGCAGAUAUCGGGAGGAACACCAGUAGCGAAGGCGGCACUCUGGGCCGGUACUGACGCUGAGGAGCGAAAGCGUGGGGAGCGAACAGG
rnacentral:rRNA from 1 species